UGAUCAUGUGUGACCAGAUUUUGAAUUACUGUAUACAAUUUGCCUAUAACUUUUAUAUUAUUUUACAUAUUACUUGGCUAUAAUUUGGUUGUUUGGCACUGACCAAGAUGGAUGUGGUGUUCUAUAGCAUGACCUCUUUCCAGGACAGACAAAUACAUCGACUGCAAAGUGAUAUAAAUGCCAGGCUGUGGUUUUUAUCCUGUGGGAUCACAAGCCCAUUUCUAGCUUGGGAUUCAGGCUUGCUGCAGAGUGAGCUGUGGACAGCCUGCUGAUGAAGCAGUAAUUUGUUCAUCCUUCUCCUGUAACAAAAAUCGUGGUUCAUUUUUUUGAAUAGCAGCAAUUUGAAGGUGCUGAGAUGUUUGUAAUACAGGUGCUUGGAGAUGGAAAUUUUUCAGUCUGGUGGAGGCAAGAAACUAUUUGGACAUCACUGCUUGUAAACAAAGGCAUCUAUUCUCCAAAGCUCUGAGCUCUAAGUGCACUGUGAGAGCAAAUGCCCAUGUCUCUGGAGAUAACAGCAGUAAAUGUAAUCAACUGUGUCUCAAAGCAAGUGCAACAUUUCCUUCUUGGUCUUACCUAUGAGAACUGGGUUAUAUCUGCCAUUUUGUUAUCAUUGAUUGCAUGUUUGUCUUCUUGCAGGCACUCCUAGUUUACUCCUGUGUCAGCAGCAGAUUUCCCCAAUUGAGGGGACCAUGUUAUGUUUGAGAUCCCUAAUGAAUGCUGCACUAAUUAUCUUUGGUCCUAGAAGGUCAUUGAAUGAUGCAGUGGGAUGUUCUUAUUAACCUUACCCUGAGAGUUACAAUCUGUACUGACCACAGUAAAUCUGUUUGGGUUUUUUUUUCUGUUUAGCUCAAGCUUCCCUCACACAAUACAGUGUACUCAGAAGUCAGGAAAAAAAAUCCCCAAGCCUGCUACACACAGAGUCAGAAUAAGUUUAACUGUUUGACCUACAACAGUUCUGUCAUCAUGAAUUGACACGUUCGUCUUUCUUUUCUUGAAAUAAAGCUUUUCCCCAGUGUUCUGGCAGCAGCACAAGGAUUGCUGGCAAUGAAGUCACCUUCAAAGCUAAAGCAUUCAUGGAACAAAUGCAUUUCUGGAAGCAAGUCCUGAAGGAAGAGCAAAGUGUCCCUCCUGAGCAGAGGAAAAGUGUGGCAAAUGUCUGAGCUGCCAUCAAGUGUCACUAGAAGCUGUACCAGUGGAUGAGGAAUGUACGUCUGCCAGCCAGUGCUGGUACAGCUGAGACUCAGCUGCGUUCCACAGAUUGUUCUUUUCCCCAUGCUGCCAUUGGACAAAACUUUACUGCCUAAGGAAAAGUUGCAAGCUCAACAUGAACACAAGCUCUUUGCUUUUGCAAACUCUACUGGGAGAACAAAAAGAAGUGUACUGAAUAAUUCAGCCUUGAGAGUGAAUUGAGCUUGAGGAGAAUUGUUGAAUUCCCAAGUCUGUGGUUUGUGGUUUUUGUUAUUGACUGCUCACAUGGAUUGAAAGUCCUGUCUCUGAAGUCAGUGGUUUUUAUCUCCCCUUCAGAUUCUGCAAUUUUAUCUGGCUUUUUCUCCCUGAUCACCAGCUCUCUGUUAUUGCUAAUAAACACACAAGAAGCAUUGAAGGACCUUCGUGAUUCCAAAGAGAGCCAUAGAUAGACUGCUAUGCUAAUAAAUCAGAAUUUAACAUUGGACCUGAAUGUGGAAGAUAGUCCAAUGAAAUUAUGAGGCACUCUUCCUACUAUCCUCCCCUCACAUGCUGGAAUAUCCAAGUUUGAUAUCAGAAAAGAACCUCCUGAAAAUGGGGUGUCUUAACUGACCCUGAAAUUUGUUGUUUAUAUUAACAUGCUGAUGGGAGCCAGACAAUAACAAUAGGAGCUGGUCCUGCAUUUUAUACACUGGCAGCCAAUUUGGCAAAUGUAUGUCUGAGGAUGACUUGCACAGGAAUCUUCACUGCCUUUAGAGUCCAACGACGACCUGCUGGACCAUAAAAAACCACCAAAACGUGCCUGCAGACUCCAUCAUCCUAAAUUUCCUGGAGACAUGUUCUGUUUGUCCUGAUAGCAGAAUUUCAAAGAAUGAUUGACUGAUUCUCUUAUUAAAGUCUAUGCCCAAGAGGAAAAAGCUGCUCA